UACGUAGGGUGCGAGCGUUGUCCGGAAUUAUUGGGCGUAAAGAGCUCGUAGGCGGUGUGUCACGUCGGCCGUGAAAACCUGCAGCUUAACUGUGGGCGUGCGGUCGAUACGGGCAUCACUGGAGUUCGGCAGGGGAGACUGGAAUUCCUGGUGUAGCGGUGAAAUGCGCAGAUAUCAGGAGGAACACCGGUGGCGAAGGCGGGUCUCUGGACAGUUCCUGACGCUGAGGCACGGAGGUCAGGGGAGCAAACGGG
rnacentral:rRNA from 1 species